rnacentral:rRNA from 1 species
UAGGGAAUCUUCGGCAAUGGACGAAAGUCUGACCGAGCAACGCCGCGUGAGUGAAGAAGGUUUUCGGAUCGUAAAACUCUGUUGUUAGAGAAGAACAAGGACGUUAGUAACUGAACGUCCCCUGACGGUAUCUAACCAGAAAGCCACGGCUAACUACGUGCCAGCAGCCGCGGUAAUACGUAGGUGGCAAGCGUUGUCCGGAUUUAUUGGGCGUAAAGCUAGCGCAGGCGGUUUCUUAAGUAUGAUGUGAAAGCCCCCGGCUCAACCGGGGAGGGUCAUUGGAAAAUGGGAGACUGGAGUUCAGAAGAGGAGAGUGGAAUUCCAUGUGUAGCGGUGAAAUGCGUAGAUAUAUGGAGGAACACCAGUGGCGAAGGCGGCUCUCUGGUCUGUAACUGACGCUGAGGCUCGAAAGCGUGGGGAGCAAACAGG